rnacentral:rRNA from 1 species
GAUGAACGCUGGCGGCGUGCCUAACACAUGCAAGUCGAGCGAGAAGUUUGAAAAAUGAGUUUUCGAACAAGUGAUUCAAACGGAGAGCGGCGGACGGGUGAGUAACGCGUAGGCAACCUGCCCCGUGCAGAGGGACAGCCUCGGGAAACCGGGAUUAAGACCUCAUGAUAUCGGGUUAUCACAUGGUAAUCCGGUCAAAGAUUUAUCGGCAUGGGAUGGGCCUGCGUCUGAUUAGCCGGUUGGUGGGGUAACGGCCUACCAAGGCGACGAUCAGUAGCAGAACUGAGAGGUUCAUCUGCCACAUUGGAACUGAGACACGGUCCAAACUCCUACGGGAGGCAGCAGUGAGGAAUAUUGCACAAUGGGCGAAAGCCUGAUGCAGCAACGCCGCGUGAGCGAAGAAGGCCUUUGGGUCGUAAAGCUCUGUCCUUGGGGAAGAAACAAAUGACGGUACCCUUGGAGGAAGCCCCGGCUAACUACGUGCCAGCAGCCGCCGUAA